CUACGGGCCGCAGCAGUGAGGAAUAUUGCACAAUGGGGGGAACCCUGAUGCAGCAACGCCGCGUGGAGGAUGACGCAUUUCGGUGUGUAAACUCCUUUUAUAUGUCAAGAAAAUGACGGUAGCAUAUGAAUAAGCACCGGCUAACUCCGUGCCAGCAGCCGCGGGUAUACGGAGGGUGCAAGCGUUACUCGGAAUCACUGGGCGUAAAGGACGCGUAGGCGGGUUGGAAAGUCAGGUGUGAAAUCCUACAGCUUAACUGUAGAACUGCACUUGAAACUUCUAAUCUAGAGUAUGGGAGGGGGAGAUGGAAUUAGUGGUGUAGGGGUAAAAUCCGUAGAUAUCACUAGGAAUACCUAAAGCGAAGGCGAUCUCCUGGAACAUAACUGACGCUAAGGCGUGAAAGCGUGGGGAGCAAACAGGAUUAGAUACCCUGGUAGUC
rnacentral:rRNA from 1 species